rnacentral:rRNA from 1 species
GAUGAACGCUAGCGACAGGCUUAACACAUGCAAGUCGAGGGUCAGCAUGAACUUAGCUUGCUUUGUUUGAUGGCUACCCGCGCACGGGUGAGUAACGCCUAUGCAACUUACCUAUCAGAGGAUAAUAGCUCAUCGAAACAGGAAUUAAUGCUCCAUAAAACAGCGGUUCCGCAUUGGAACAAUUGUUACAGAUUCAUCGCUGAUAGCUAGGCAUGCGUUCCAUUAGGCUGUUGGCGGGGUAACGGCCCACCAAACCGACUAUGGAUAGGGGUUCAGAGAGGAAGGUCCCCAGCAAUGGUACUGAGACACGGACCAAAGUCCUACGGGAAGCAGCAGUGAGGAGUAUUGGACAAUGGAGGAGAGGCUGAACCAGGCAAAUCGCGUCAAGGAAUAGCGAUCCAUGGUUUGUAAACUUCUUUUAUACGGCAAUAAAGUGCGGUACACGUCCCAUUGUGUGUGUCCCGUAUGAAUAAGCCUGGGCUAACUCCGUG